UACGGAGGGUGCAAGCGUUAAUCGGAAUUACUGGGCGUAAAGCGCACGCAGGCGGUUGAUUAAGUUAGAUGUGAAAUCCUCGGGCUUAACCUGGGAAUGGCAUCUAAAACUGGUCAGCUAGAGUCUUGUAGAGGGGGGUAGAAUUCCAUGUGUAGCGGUGAAAUGCGUAGAGAUGUGGAGGAAUACCGGUGGCGAAGGCGGCCCCCUGGACAAAGACUGACGCUCAGGUGCGAAAGCGUGGGGAGCAAACAGG
rnacentral:rRNA from 1 species